GAAGCUAACGCGUGAAGUUGACCGCCUGGGGAGUACGGUCGCAAGAUUAAAACUCAAAGGAAUUGACGGGGACCCGCACAAGCGGUGGAUGAUGUGGAUUAAUUCGAUGCAACGCGAAAAACCUUACCUACCCUUGACAUGUCCGGAAUCCUGCAGAGAUGCGGGAGUGCCCGAAAGGGAAUCGGAACACAGGUGCUGCAUGGCUGUCGUCAGCUCGUGUCGUGAGAUGUUGGGUUAAGUCCCGCAACGAGCGCAACCCUUAUCAUUAGUUGCUACGCAAGGGCACUCUAAUGAGACUGCCGGUGACAAACCGGAGGAAGGUGGGGAUGACGUCAAGUCCUCAUGGCCCUUAUGGGUAGGGCUUCACACGUCAUACAAUGGUCGGUACAGAGGGUUGCCAAGCCGCGAGGUGGAGCCAAUCCCAGAAAGCCGAUCGUAGUCCGGAUUGUUCUCUGCAACUCGAGAGCAUGAAGUCGGAAUCGCUAGUAAUCGCGGAUCAGCAUGUCGCGGUGAAUACGUUCCCGGGUCUUGUACACACCGCCCGUCACACCAUGGGAGUGGAAUCUGCCAGAAGUAGGUAGCCUAACCGCAAGGAGGGCGCUUACCACGGUNGNUUUCAUGACUGGGGUGAAGUCGUAACAAGGUAACA
rnacentral:rRNA from 1 species